rnacentral:rRNA from 1 species
GACGAACCGUGCGAACGUUAUUCGGAAUCACUGGGCUUAAAGGGCGCGUAGGCGGACCUGCAAGUCGGGGGUGAAAGCCCGAGGCUCAACCUCGGAACUGCCUUCGAUACUGCGGGUCUCGAGUCCGGGAGAGGUGAGUGGAAUUCCUAGUGUAGAGGUGAAAUUCGUAGAUAUUAGGAAGAACACCAGUGGCGAAGGCGGCUCACUGGCCCGGUACUGACGCUGAGGCGCGAAAGCGUGGGGAGCAAACAGG